rnacentral:ncRNA from 1 species
UUUUUUCGCCUCUGGCUUUCGUUUUUGGACAUUUCGUCCAGACUUAAGUCACACAACCUCACC